AUUGAACGCUGGCGGCAGGCCUAACACAUGCAAGUCGAACGGUAACAGGAAGCAGCUUGCUGCUUUGCUGACGAGUGGCGGACGGGUGAGUAAUGUCUGGGAAACUGCCUGAUGGAGGGGGAUAACUACUGGAAACGGUAGCUAAUACCGCAUAACGUCGCAAGACCAAAGAGGGGGACCUACGAGCCUCCUGCCAUCGGAUGUGCCCAGAUGGGAUAAGCUAGUAGGUGGGGUAACGGCUCACCUAGGCGACGAUCCCUAGCUGGUCUGAGAGGAUGACGAGCCACACUGGAACUGAGUCACGGUCCAGGCUCCUACGGUAGGCACCAGUGGGGAAUAUUGCACAAUGGUCACAAUCCUAAUGCAGCCAUGCCGCGUGUAUGUAGAAGGCCUUCGGGUUGUAAAGUACUUUCAGCGGGGAUGAAGGGUGUAAUGUUAAUACCUUUGCUCAUUGACGUUACCCGCAGAAUACGCACCGGCUAACUCCGUG
rnacentral:rRNA from 1 species